GGGGAUAUGGCGAAAUCGGUAGACGCUACGGACUAAAAUCCGUCGACUUUAGAAAUCGUGAGGGUUCAAGUCCCUCUAUCCCCA
rnacentral:tRNA from 2 species